CCAUGAUAUCAUGAUAUUUUUAGUGAUAUUUGUAAAUUGUCUUUCUAAAUGACAUCAUGUCUAAUGUCGUGAAGCUUCUGGAUAUCAGGCUCCAUUGACUGAUAAUGUAUGAACAGAAACCAGCAGGACAAACUUCACCAAAAUCACCAUUUGUGUUUAGAAAUAUAAUAAUAAUAAUAAUUAAUAAUAAUAAUAAUAAUAAUAAUAAAAAUAAAAAUAAUAAUAAUGACAGAAUGUAUGUGUAUCCAAAGCGAUUUACAGUGCACUUAUUACAGGGACGAUCCCCCCGGAGCAACCUGGAGUAAAGUGUCUUGCUCAAGGACACGCUGGUGGUGACGGCUGCGGAGAUCGACCCAGCAACCUUCUGCUUACUAGUUCAGUGGUUUAGCUGUUGACUGCAGUUUCUGGUCGGUAGUUGCUGAAAGCAAACUAAAACAUCAGUAACAAACAAGGACCCGCCCAUGUCACAUUUACAAAAUUUAACAUCAUCUCAGGACUGCCAUGGCAUUUGUAUUAUGGAUUAAAUCAACAUCAGAGACCUGCUUGCUCACUGCCACCACUGCCAGUACUACUGGACCAGACCAACCACUGGCCUACCAUGGUGUCUCAAAAAGGCAGGUGCAAGUGGAUGUAAGUGUAUUGUUAGGGUACAGUGCACCAAAUGUGAUGUGUACCUGUG